AUUGAACGCUGGCGGCAGGCCUAACACAUGCAAGUCGAGCGGAUGAGUGGAGCUUGCUCCAUGAUUCAGCGGCGGACGGGUGAGUAAUGCCUAGGAAUCUGCCUGGUAGUGGGGGACAACGUUUCGAAAGGAACGCUAAUACCGCAUACGUCCUACGGGAGAAAGCAGGAGACCUUCGGGCCUUGCGCUAUCAGAUGAGCCUAGGUCGGAUUAGCUAGUAGGUGAGGUAAUGGCUCACCUAGGCGACGAUCCGUAACUGGUCUGAGAGGAUGAUCAGUCACACUGGAACUGAGACACGGUCCAGACUCCUACGGGAGGCAGCAGUGGGGAAUAUUAGACAAUGGGCGAAAGCCUGAUCCAGCCAUGCCGCGUGUGUGAAGAAGGUCUUCGGAUUGUAAAGCACUUUAAGUUGGGAGGAAGGGCAGUAAGUUAAUACCUUGCUGUUCUGACGUUACCAACAGAAUAAGCACCGGCUAACUUCGUGCCAGCCGCCGCCGUAACAC
rnacentral:rRNA from 1 species